rnacentral:rRNA from 1 species
AGACUAGAGUGCGGGAGGGGAAAAUGAAAUUCCUGGUGUAGCGGUGGAAUGCGCAGAUAUCAAGAGGAACACCGAUGGCGAAGGCAGUUCUCUUGGCCGUUACUGACGCUGAGGAGCGAAAGCGUGGGGAGCGAACAGGAUUAGAUACCCUGGUAGUCCACGCCGUAAACGUUGGGAACUAGAUGUGGGGACCUUUCCACGGUCUCCGUGUCGCAGCUAACGCAUUAAGUUCCCCGCCUGGGGAGUACGGCCGCAAGGCUAAAACUCAAAGGAAUUGACGGGGGCCCGCACAAGCGGCGGAGCAUGCGGAUUAAUUCGAUGCAACGCGAAGAACCUUACCAAGGCUUGACAUAUACCGGAAACUUCCAGAAAUGGUUGCCCCGCAAGGUCGGUAUACAGGUGGUGCAUGGUUGUCGUCAGCUCGUGUCGUGAUAUGUUGGGUUAAGUCCCGCAACGAGCGCAACCCUCGUUCUAUGUUGCCAGCACGGUCAUGGUGGGGAACUCAUAGGAGACUGCCGGGGUCAACUCGGAGGAAAGUGGGGAUGACGUCAAAUCAUCAUGCCCCUUAUGUCUUGGGCUUCACACAUGCUACAAUGUCCGGUACAAAGGGCUGCGAUACCGUAAGGUGGAGUAAUCGCAAAAAAUGCGGUCUCAAUUCUGAUUUGAGGUUUGCAACUCGACCUCAUAA